AUAAUUUUGUUUAAUAGUAGAUGAUUUAAAUGAAUAGAGGGACGAAUUAUUUAGAAGAUUGAUUGGGAUAUUUUUAUUUAUUCGUAUACUCAGGCACUAAUCUAUCCGAAUUAAGCUGUUAGGCUAAUAAAAUGUCAUUGAUUUUUUCUUCUAGAGUAUGAAAAAGCCCUGAGUUUAGGAUCUAGAGAGGCAAGCAAAGUGAUUGAAUACUUAUAAUUUUCCACUGUAGUCUAGAAAUUAAUGUUGGUUGUUAAAUUAAAGGGUCUUUAUUGAUUUUCAUCCAUCAAGCUUCCUACGUUACGUUUUUUUUUGAAAGGGCUUCCUAAGUUCCUCAAACUCUCAUUUAUGAUAAAAUAAAAAAGAGGAAAAUAAAUUGGAUUUUAUAAUGAUCAGAUAUGCAAAUUUGGAAAAAAAUCUGUUGAUGAAAGAUGUUGGUUAGCUGUUUAGUGAAUAUAGUAUACCUCUAAAAUAGUUCGGGUGUAUGUGUUUUCAUAUGCCAACUAACCCAGCUUUGGUCUGAAAUUUUGAAAGGAAUCCCUUAUAUUAUUCAGAAAUUCCAAAAUUUUUGUUUAGGGUAGGGGCUAAUAAUAUAUGAUGAUUUUGGCUAUUUUUGGACCACAAUUUGCGGUUAAAGCCCAAAGCUUUGAAGAAUCCUUGUGAAUUAUGGCAACUCAAUUUCCAACAUCCUUAUGUUUGAAAUCAAUUCUCAUAAUUUUUUUGUCCUUAGAAGUACUUGAAGUGGGCAAAAGUUGUGGGUACCCGUGAUGGAGUUAAGGACUUAGAUGUGGGGGUCCAACAAAGUUUUCUUUCUUUUGGUAAUGAUUCCUUGAACAGGGAAGGAAUCUACUAUAGGGUUCCUUUUGAAUUUUUCUUCAACUUUUUGUAAAUUUUUGUUGUAUAGUCUGUGUUUUUCCCCCUUUUUUUGAAAAUAUAGUUUUAGCUUAUGAUUUCUAAUCUAGUAGUAUUAUUAUAUCCAGGUGAGUAAACUACUUCCUAAAACUGCGAAAUGGGCAAAGAUGAGGAUCUAACAAUGUUGCUAAAUUACCUAAAUGUGUGCAUCCUUAGUGGGCUACCUUUCUUUUGUUUGUAAUUAUGACUUUUUCAUUUUCUAUUUUCCUCGUCAAAGUUAUAUUUUGAAUUGAUUUUCCUCAUAAAAAUUUACAUGGGUAUUUAGUGGGUUUCUUUUCAGGCUUGUCUUUCUCCCCCUAUUUUUCUAACCUUAUCUAGAACUUGUCAAUCUUAAUCCGUCCUUGUUGGAGCUUAUUAGCUGUUAGUAUUCGAAUUAAUCACCUCUAAUCUUGGACUCUUGGUUGAACAAGGUUAGUUUUGGUCAAUCAACAUCGAAAACUUAUUUUACAAGCUAAAGAGGACACCCCUAGUGGACAAGGAUGGUGUAGCUCCUAGUUGUCAAGAUUCCAUGUCAAGGUAUGAUGAUGAGCAUGUAUAGAAUGACAAUUCUGGGCCUGGAUAUAGUCAUAUUCCUAAGCAUACUCUUCUUGGUCAGUGCUUCCAGUGACAUGGAAGUAUUGUCCACAGUAAGGAAAAGCCUUAUCCGGAGAAAAGACAUUAUUCCUAGUUGGUUUUACCCGGAGAUUCCUGUAUGUAACUUGACAGGUGUGGAUUGUAGAGGUGUGGAUGUGUUUGGGGUUAAUCUGCCUUGUUCAUCUUCACCACUAGACCUUCCUUUUCCUAGCAGCAUCGGAGAAUUAAAACAUCUCAUGUAUCUUAAUCUCAGUCAGUGUGGGCUCACAGGUGAAAUUUCUGAUAAUAUAUGGAGUCUUGAGAAUCUUGAGAUCCUGGAUCUGAGUGGUAAUAUGCUCUCUGGAACUUUCCCUCUAUGUCUGAAAUAGACUACAUUUAAUAAAGCUUAAUUAUAAGUUUAUUAAGCUGAUUGGGGUUAUUAAGUAAGUUAAUUCGAGAAAUAAUAUUAUUAUUUUGAUAAUAUUGACUCAAGUAUUUGAUUUGUUAACAUUUUCAAGGAAGAGGUAUAUUUUAUUUAAUGUAUAAAAUUCGUAUAAAGAAUACUUCGUUAAAAGUGUAUUUUGAUUAUAUUUUAUUAAUUGAUUACUAUCUUAUCUU